rnacentral:rRNA from 1 species
UGGGGAAUUUUGACAAUGGGCGAAAGCCUGAUCCAGCAAUGCCGCGUGUGUGAAGAAGGCCUUCGGGUUGUAAAGCACUUUUGUCCGGUAAAGAAAUCCUUGGCUCUAAUACGGUCGGGGGAUGACGGUACCGGAAGAAUAAGCACCGGCUAACUACGUGCCAGCAGCCGCGGUAAUACGUAGGGUGCAAGCGUUAAUCGGAAUUACUGGGCGUAAAGCGUGCGCAGGCGGUUUGCUAAGACCGGAUGUGAAAUCCCCGGGCUCAACCUGGGAACUGCAUUGGUGACUGGCAGGCUAGAGUAUGGCAGGAGGGGGGUAGAAUUCCACGUGUAGCAGUGAAAUGCGUAGAGAUGUGGAGGAAUACCGAUGGCGAAGGCAGCCCCCUGGG